AGAACGAACGCUGGCGGCAUGCCUAAUACAUGCAAGUCGAACGAACUCUUCGGAGUUAGUGGCGCACGGGUGCGUAACGCGUGGGAAUCUGCCCCUUGGUUCGGAAUAACAGUUGGAAACGACUGCUAAUACCGGAUGAUGACGAAAGUCCAAAGAUUUAUCGCCAAGGGAUGAGCCCGCGUAGGAUUAGCUAGUUGGUAGAGGUAAAGGCUCACCAAGGCAACGAUCCUUAGCUGGUCUGAGAGGAUGAUCAGCCACACUGGGACUGAGACACGGCCCAGACUCCACGGGAGGCAGCAGUAGGGAUAUGGACAAGUGGGACAAAGCCUGAUCCAGCAAUGCCGCGUAGAGUGAUGAAGCCUUAGGUGUAAGCUCUUUACCGAGAUGAUAUAGUACAGUAUGGAAGAAGUAACGGUACCCCGGACUAACUCCGUUAGCCCGAGUACC
rnacentral:rRNA from 1 species